rnacentral:tRNA from 1 species
GCCGAAAUAGCUCAGUUGGGAGAGCGUUAGACCGAAGAUCUAAAGGUCCCUGGUUCAAUCCCGGUUUUCGGCA